GGACCCGCACAAGCGGUGGAUGAUGUGGUUUAAUUCGAUGCAACGCGAAAAACCUUACCCACCUUUGACAUGUAUGGAAGAUCGCAGAGACGCGAUUGUGCUCGAAAGAGAGCCAUAACACAGGUGCUGCAUGGCUGUCGUCAGCUCGUGUCGUGAGAUGUUGGGUUAAGUCCCGCAACGAGCGCAACCCUUGCCAUUAGUUGCUACAUUUAGUUGGGCACUCUAAUGGGACUGCCGGUGACAAACCGGAGGAAGGUGGGGAUGACGUCAAGUCCUCAUGGCCCUUAUAGGUGGGGCUACACACGUCAUACAAUGGCUGGUACAAAGGGUUGCCAACCCGCGAGGGGGAGCUAAUCCCAUAAAGCCAGUCGUAGUCCGGAUCGCAGUCUGCAACUCGACUGCGUGAAGUCGGAAUCGCUAGUAAUCGUGGAUCAGAAUGUCACGGUGAAUACGUUCCCGGGUCUU
rnacentral:rRNA from 1 species